rnacentral:tRNA from 2 species
CUCCGAAUGGUGUAGUUGGUUCAUCACGUUCGACUGUAAUGGUUCUACCAAGAUUAUCGAAAGGUCCCUAGUUCGAUUCUGGGUUCGGAGA